CGGUAUUUUGACUGUGCGAAGGUAGCAUAAUCAUUUGUUUUUUAAUUGAAGACUUGUAUGAAUGGUUGAACGAGAAAAUAACUGUCUCUUUAAAAAAUUUUGAAUUUUACUUUUAAGUGAAAAGGCUUAAAUAAUUUUAAGGGACGAUAAGACCCUAUAAAUCUUUAUAUUAUUUUUCUUUAACUUUCAAAUUAUAUGUUAAAAGAAAACAAAGAAAAAAAUAUUAUAUUGGGGAGAUAAAAAUAUAAUUUUUAACUGUUUUAAAUUUAAAACAAUGAUUUUUGAUUUAAUAAAAAUUUGAUCCUUUUUAAAGAUUUUAAGAUUAAGUUACUUUAGGGAUAACAGCGUAAUUUUUUUUGAGAGUUCUUAUCGAAAAAAAAGUUUGCGACCUCGAUGUUGAAUUAAAAUAUCCUUAUAAGUGCAGAAGCUAUAAAGGAAAGUCUGUUCGACUUUUAAAAUUUUACAU
rnacentral:rRNA from 1 species